rnacentral:rRNA from 1 species
UGGGGAAUAUUGCACAAUGGGCGAAAGCCUGAUGCAGCAACGCCGCGUGAGCGAUGAAGGCCUUCGGGUCGUAAAGCUCUGUCCUCAAGGAAGAUAAUGACGGUACUUGAGGAGGAAGCCCCGGCUAACUACGUGCCAGCAGCCGCGGUAAUACGUAGGGGGCUAGCGUUAUCCGGAAUUACUGGGCGGAAAGGGUGCGUAGGUGGUUUCUUAAGUCAGAGGUGAAAGGCUACGGCUCAACCGUAGUAAGCCUUUGAAACUGAGAAACUUGAGUGCAGGAGAGGAGAGUAGAAUGCCUAGUGUAGCGGUGAAAUGCGUAGAUAUUAGGAGGAAUACCAGUGGCGAAGGCGGCUCUCUGGACUGUAACUGACACUGAGGCACGAAAGCGUGGGGAGCAAACA